rnacentral:rRNA from 1 species
CCCUUAGAUGUCCUGGGCCGCACGCGCGCUACACUGAUGCAUUCAACGAGUUUUACCUUGGCCGAGAGGCCUGGGCAAUCUUUUAAACCUGCAUCGUGAUAGGGAUAGAUUAUUGCAAUUAUUAUUCUUGAACGAGGAAUUCCUAGUAAACGCAAAUCAUCAAUUUGCAUUGAUUACGUCCCUGCCCUUUGUACACACCGCCCGUCGCACCUACCGAUUGAAUGGUCCGGUGAAGCCUCGGGAUUGUGGCCAGUUCACUUUAUUGGGAGUUGGCUGUGAGAACUUGUCUAAACCUUAUCAUUUAGAGGAAGGUGAAGUCGUAACA